rnacentral:lncRNA from 1 species
GGCGGCGGCGGCGGCGGCAGCCCGAGCAUCCCUGCUCAGCCGGAGAGGGAGCAUCGCCGAGAGUUCCCGUCCCCUCGGCCAUUCCCUUCCCCCCCCUCCUUUUCUUUAUUUGCGAGAGAAUUUCAGCUGCCUUAUUGGUUUCGUUUGAUUUGGAAACAUUUUUGGUUGCUUUGUGUGUGUGUGUGUCCUGUUUUUUUUUCUUUCCUCGUUUUAUUUGCAUCCAGAGCAUGGCGGGCUGCGGGCUGUCGGAAGACACCUUCCUCUCCUCCUUCUUUUACAACUACGGCUCCUCCUGGGAAACCCCUUCCAACCAGGUUUUUUGCGAAAAUCAGUGAACUAAUAUUGGUAAAAUUGGAGCCCCAUGGAUGAAGGGUACUUUGUAAGUAUAACACAUUCUUGUCAUGUUCUUCUCUAUUGCUCCAAACUGCAAAUACCAGAUGUCUGCUUUUGCUGUAUCAGGAAUUCAGUAACACCAUGUUUCACACCCAGAUAUUG